ACUUUUAUCCCGUAACGUUUAUCAUAUUUAUUGUCUUUAAAAAAAGAAUUAAAAAAUUGCAGGGAAAAAAUAUUGGUUGAAUAACUAUAUAAUCGGUUAAUAUAGUGUUAAGAACCCCUGAAUAUUAUUUUAUAAUUGUGUAGAGUAUAUAAUACAUGGUCGUCCGACUGUCGUCGAACACAGAAAUGUGCUGACCAAGGGUUUUAGGGCAACCAUGGGCAAAGGACUCCCACUGUAAGUACCCUACAGUCAGUCGUGGUUUAGUAUGCGCUAGUUACACUCAUUCUAUAUCAUUCUAAAUCAUUCUAUAUCAUUCUAUGUCAUUCUAUUUUAUUAUUCUAUUCAUUUGUAUUAAUAUUAAUAAAUAACGUGUAUUGUAUUAUUAAUUGUGUCAAUCAAAUUAUAUAUUCUAAAGUUUUAUUGAAAACCAAACACUAUUUGAUGAUACAAAAAUUUCAACACAUAAAACAUAUUGGUAUUUAAUAUAAAUAUUUUUACUAUACACCUUAACAUAGUUCAAAAAAACACAAGAUUAUAUUGCAUUGAGUUCUAUAACUUAUUGAAGGGCCAUAACCUGGCUGGACAGAGUACUAGUGCAAUAAUAUCACAAUCAAAAUAUUAAUUAACCUGAAGAGUUCUUCAAAGUGUCUCUCCACUUGUCGACUAGCCAAUCGGAUCUCUGUCACAGUGAGGGCCACCGGAGUGUACGACACUAGUAUAAUUUAUUGUGCAAAGAACUGAAAUUGAACUCGCAUCUACCCUUGAUCACUCUAUAGACUGAAAUAACGUAGGCCACUUGGAAAUAGUUUUUGCACUAGACAGUUAUGUUAUUUAGAAUCUCUUUACUGGUUUUAAAAAUUAUGAAAUUAUAAAUACGUUAAUAUUAGACAGUUACACGUGAGUUAAUAUAAUAAUAUAAAUCGGAUAAUAUCAAGUGCUUACACAAACGUACAUACAUACAUAUCGUUAAUAGUGACAUCAACUUUAUGAUUCAUCAUAACAAAAUAUUUGUCAUAUCAGGAUAAUUAGAGGUAGUAACACUGAGCGAAAAUGACAAUGAAAACCUCAAAAGUACUGUCGUUGAUAUGAAGAAAAAUAUUAAUGACCAGAAGAAUUCACUAUACAGAUUCAAUGAUGUGCUGAUAACAAUAUUAUUCUACAAGGCAAAAUUUAAGAAUACAUACUUUGGUUAUGCAAUCCAAAUACUGUUCGCUAAUACUGGAUCAGCACUUGGACAGGACACCAGCCUGUAAUACACUAGUAUGGGCUAGCCAAUGGUCAGUACCAGUAGUGGUGUAAUUCUUCGCCCGUUGUCAAUAGUUGGUAGUUGACAAAAAUGUCUUCUGGAGGUAAACUAAUAUUCAGUUUUGUAAAUUAACAUAUACCCCUUAAAAAUAUUACAAAUAUUUUGUUAUAUAAAUACUCGGGUUUACGACACGUGUAUAUGAACGUAUACUUUGAAAUGAAAUUAAUAAAUUUGUUACACUUUAGAAGAUUUAUUUUUCAAUCAAUUUGAAUAAUUUCUUUUAUUUAAUA